AUACAAAACGUUACCUGUUGCAGAUUGGGAUGUCACACCUCCAACAACCUCAACUAUUCAGAUUGGCAGCCCAGGCUUUGUACGUGUCCACGUUGUUGUGGGAGCUGUCCUUGGACUAUUGAUGUGUUGCACUGUGGUUGCACAUGGUCUACUUCUCAGAAAACAAUCAAUGUCACGCUCACUGACAUUUCCAUCAUCUGAAUCAGAUCCUGUAGAUAUUGCACAGGAUGAAGAGGACACUUGUCAUGUGUAUGAUGAGAUAGUUAUGUACAGCUCCAACAGUGACUUGUACUGCACCAUUAGGUUUUGUGAAACCCCACCGGAAAUAGAAGACAAUGCUCUCUACUCCCUCCUGACACUAAAUGAACAGACCUCAGUGAGGGUCACAAGUCUUUAAUCAACAGAGGGCAUUCGCACAACACUGCCAACACAUUGAUGGUGGAUGUGCGGUAUCAUUAUUGCUAUUAUGUGUGUGUGUGUGUGUGUGUGUGUGUGUGUGUGUGUG